rnacentral:rRNA from 1 species
GACGAACCGAGCGAACGUUGUUCGGAAUCACUGGGCUUAAAGGGCACGUAGGCGGGCUGCCGCGUCCGGGGUGAAAUCCCACGGCUCAACCGUGGAACGGCCCCGGGUACGGGCGGCCUCGAGGGGGGUAGGGGCGUGCGGAACUGUGGGUGGAGCGGUGAAAUGCGUUGAGAUCCACAGGAACUCCGGUGGCGAAGGCGGCACGCUGGACCCUCUCUGACGCUGAGGCGCGAAAGCCAGGGGAGCGAACGGG